AACGCUGGCGGCGUGCCUAACACAUGCAAGUCGAGCGAUUUACUUCGGUAAAGAGCGGCGGACGGGUGAGUAACGCGUGGGUAACCUGCCCUGUACACACGGAUAACAUACCGAAAGGUAUGCUAAUACGAGAUAAUAUGCUUUUAUCGCAUGGUAGAAGUAUCAAAGCUCCGGCGGUACAGGAUGGACCCGCGUCUGAUUAGCUAGUUGGUAAGGUAACGGCUUACCAAGGCGACGAUCAGUAGCCGACCUGAGAGGGUGAUCGGCCACAUUGGAACUGAGACACGGUCCAAACUCCUACGGGAGGCAGCAGUGGGGAAUAUUGCACAAUGGGCGAAAGCCUGAUGCAGCAACGCCGCGUGAGCGAUGAAGGCCUUCGGGUCGUAAAGCUCUGUCCUCAAGGAAGAUAAUGACGGUACUUGAGGAGGAAGCCCCGGCUAACUACGUGCCAGCAGCCGCGGUAAUACGUAGGGGGCUAGCGUUAUCCGGAAUUACUGGGCGUAAAGGGUGCGUAGGUGGUUUCUUAAGUCAGAGGUGAAAGGCUACGGCUCAACCGUAGUAAGCCUUUGAAACUGGGAAACUUGAGUGCAGGAGAGGAGAGUGGAAUUCCUAGUGUAGCGGUGAAAUGCGUAGAUAUUAGGAGGAACACCAGUUGCGAAGGCGGCUCUCUGGACUGUAACUGACACUGAGGCACGAAAGCGUGGGGAGCAAACAGGAUUAGAUACCCUGGUAGUCCACGCCGUAAACGAUGAGUACUAGCUGUCGGAGGUUACCCCCUUCGGUGGCGCAGCUAACGCAUUAAGUACUCCGCCUGGGAAGUACGCUCGCAAGAGUGAAACUCAAAGGAAUUGACG
rnacentral:rRNA from 1 species